AGCGAACGCUGGCGGCAGGCCUAACACAUGCAAGUCGAACGAUCCUUCGGGAUAGUGGCGGACGGGUGAGUAACACGUGGGAACGUGCCCUUUGGUUCGGAACAACUCAGGGAAACUUGAGCUAAUACCGAAUGUGCCCUUCGGGGGAAAGAUUUAUCGCCAUUGGAGCGGCCCGCGUCUGAUUAGCUAGUUGGUGAGGU
rnacentral:rRNA from 1 species